rnacentral:rRNA from 1 species
UACGUAGGCAGCGAGCGUUGUUCGGAGUUACUGGGCGUAAAGGGUGUGUAGGCGGCGCGGUAAGUCGGGUGUGAAAUCUCGGAGCUUAACUCCGAAACUGCAUUCGAUACUGCCGUGCUUGAGGACUGGAGAGGAGACUGGAAUUUACGGUGUAGCGGUGAAAUGCGUAGAUAUCGUAAGGAAGACCAGUGGCGAAGGCGGGUCUCUGGACAGUUCCUGACGCUGAGGCACGAAGGUCAGGGGAGCAAACGGG